rnacentral:rRNA from 1 species
CCUACGGGUGGCAGCAGUAGGGAAUAUUGCUCAAUGGGGGAAACCCUGAAGCAGCAACGCCGCGUGGAGGAUGAAGGUUUUCGGAUUGUAAACUCCUUUUGUUAGAGAAGAUAAUGACGGUAUCUAACGAAUAAGCACCGGCUAACUCCGUGCCAGCAGCCGCGGUAAUACGGAGGGUGCAAGCGUUACUCGGAAUCACUGGGCGUAAAGAGCGCGUAGGCGGGAUAGCAAGUCAGAUGUGAAAUCCUAUGGCUUAACCAUAGAACUGCAUUUGAAACUGUUAUUCUAGAGUAUGGGAGAGGUAGGUAGAAUUCUUGGUGUAGGAGUAAAAUGCGUAGAGAUCAAGAGGAAUACUCAUGGCGAAGGCGACCUGCUAGAACAUAACUGACGCUGAUGCGCGAAAGCGUGGGGAGCAAACAGGAUUAGAUACCCCUGUAGUC